CUUAGACCCCUCAGGGGAACUUGUUCCAUAAUCGACAGUCCGCGUUAUACCUGACCUUUCUUUGUAUUCAGUAUGUAUACCGUCGUCGGCAGGCAACUUUUAAGAAUUACUAAGUUGGCUAGAGAGUAGUUAACUCUGACGUCAGAUCAAGGUGCAGCUAAUAGAAAGGAGAGAAUGAGUUACAAUUAAUAUUUAUAAUCACGAAGUUAAAAAUGUAAACUUUAAUGAA
rnacentral:rRNA from 1 species